GCCCGGGUGGCUCAGUCGGUUGAGCGUCUGACUUUGGCCCAGGUCAUGAUCUCACAGUUCGUGAGUUCAAGCCCCACGUCGGGCU
rnacentral:tRNA from 1 species